UACGUAGGUGGCAAGCGUUGUUCGGAAUUACUGGGCGUAAAGGGCGCGUAGGCGGCCUGUUAAGUCGGACGUGAAAUCCCUCGGCUCAACCGGGGAACUGCGUCCGAUACUGGCGGGCUUGAAUUCGGGAGAGGGAUGUGGAAUUCCAGGUGUAGCGGUGAAAUGCGUAGAUAUCUGGAGGAACACCGGUGGCGAAGGCGGCAUCCUGGACCGACAUUGACGCUGAGGCGCGAAAGCCAGGGGAGCAAACGGG
rnacentral:rRNA from 1 species